GAACGCAGCGAAAUGCGAUACGUAAUGUGAAUUGCAGAAUUCAGUGAAUCAUCGAAUCUUUGAACGCAUAUUGCGCUCUUUGGUAUUCCGAAGAGCAUGCUUGUUUGAGUAUCAGUAAACACCUCAAAGUCUUUUUUUCUUGAAGAAAAGACUUUGGACUUGAGCAAUCCCAACUCUUCCUUUCAGAAGAGGCGGGUUGCUUGAAAUGCAGGUGCAGCUGGACAUUCUCCUGAGCUAAAAGCAUAUUCAUUUAGUCCCGUCAAACGGAUUAUUACUUUUGCUGCAGCUAACAUAAAGGGAGUUUGACCAUUUUGGCUGACUGAUGCAGGAUUUUCACAAGAGUCUUCAAAACGCUCUUGUUAAACUCGAUCUCAAAUCAAGUAAGACUACCCGCUGAACUUAAGCAUAUCAAUA
rnacentral:rRNA from 1 species